rnacentral:lncRNA from 1 species
CUUGAAGAUCUUAGAAGAUAACUUAAGUGAGGGGGGCUGGAGAAAAAAUUUAGACCCUAUGGAGGCAUAUAAGGAAUCUGCUCUUUUAGAACAUAUUUUUGAAAUUUGGUGAGAUUGGACUCUUACGAGGAGUGAUUGAGAAGCUGCACUCUCAGAGAGUGAAGAACUCAAUUCCAGGGAGCUUGACAUAGGUGGUGCAUGAAGUGUCUCAAGAGGAAGCAGAGAAUAAGAUCUCAGUUACACAGUCUGGGCAAGAAUACAAGAAAAUCACCCAAAAAACUGCGACCAUCAGAGGAGCCUCCAUGUUAGAGUCUCUGGGCCUCUGUCUCUUCAGAAUCCACCCUGGAAACAGUGUGCAUCAAAACACUUUGGAGUUCUUAGAGGCACUUGGAAUUAUCUGCUGGCUUCCCACCUUUAAAGAGACUGGGCUAGUUAAAUAUCCCCCUCUGUUCAUUUUUUUAAAUUUGAGUUUGUCAGUUCACAAUACCAGAAGAUCUGAAAGAAAAAUAAAAACAAAACCCAGAACCUCUUUGGGCUUCUCAGGCAAUAGAGAAAGACUUCCACGUACUCAGAAGACCAUCGUCAGUUAACAAAAGCCAGUCUUGUCAUCCUGUGUAGCUCUGCACUGCUUUAUCCAGGCGGUGGAAAAAGCUUUGAGUGUGAGUGGCCAGAAUCAAGUGGUGUUCUCUCACUUCAUCACGUUUGGCACAUUUUCUCUCUGGACAAAUCCAGUGGACAUUUUGCAGACCUGCUAAUCUCAGGAAGACUGAAGUUUUUAGAAGAUCGCUCUUCAUAUUUAGGGGGAUUCUGUUGUUGGAGCCACAAGGACCCUUAAGAAAAAUACUUGGAGCCAGCUGGUCCCUGCCAUCAUUGAAACCCAAAGGGAGGAGCUCCACGGGUGAGGAGCUACUCCCUAGAUGUCUUGAAGUUGCUUGUAUUUCAAAAGAAUUCAGCUUACCACCACUGUGGC